GACGAACGCUGGCGGCGUGCUUAACACAUGCAAGUCGAACGGAAAGGCCCUGCUUUUGUGGGGUGCUCGAGUGGCGAACGGGGGAGUAACACGUGAGUAACCUGCCCUUGACUUUGGGAUAACUUCAGGAAACUGGGGCUAAUACCGGAUAGGAGCUCCUGCUGCAUGGUGGGGGUUGGAAAGUUUCGGCGGUAGGGGAUGGACUCGCGGCUUAUCAGCUUGUUGGUGGGGUAGUGGCUUACCAAGGCUUUGACGGGUAGCCGGCCUGAGAGGGUGACCGGCGACAUUGGGCCUGAGGGAGGGAGCAGAGUCCAACGGGAGGCAGCGGUGGGGAAUAUUGCACAAUGGGCGGAAGCCUGAUGCAGCAGCGCCGCGUGCGGGAUGACGGUCUUCGGGUUGUAAACCGCUUUCGCCUGUGACGAAGCGUGAGUGACGGUAAUGGGUAAAGAAGCACCGGCUAACUACGUG
rnacentral:rRNA from 1 species